AUUAGUAGUAGUUAAGUUCUUGAAAAUUAAAAGAUUUGGCGGUAUUUUAGACUUUUCAGAGGAACUUGUUUUGUAAUUGAUAAUCCACGAUUUAAAUUACUUUUUUUUUAAGUUUAUAUAUCGUUGUUAUUGAAAAUUUUAUUUAAAAGAUAAUUAAUUUUCAAAAUUUUAAAUUAAAAAGUAAAUCAGAUCAAGAUGUAGUUAAUAAGAAAGUAAUAAUGAGUUACAUUUAUUUUAUAUAAAGAUAUUUAUUUUUAAAAUAAAUUGAAUUUGGAUUUGAAAGUAAUUUAAAUUAAUUAAUUUAAAUGAUUUAGCUCUAAAAUAUGUACACAUC
rnacentral:rRNA from 1 species